rnacentral:lncRNA from 1 species
UGGCGGCGACCAGCCGGAGACCCGCGGCCUCCUGGCCUGCGGCACCGGCGUGGGCGUGUCCAUCUUCGCCAACAAGUUCCCCCGCGUGUACGCCAGCACCUGCUCCUCCGUCGGCGACGCCGUCAACACCCGCUCCAUCAACGCCUGCAACGUCCUCUCCGUCUCCGGCAUGUUCACCGCCCCCACCGACGCCGUCAAGAUCCUCGACGCCUGGCUUCGCACCCCCUUC